rnacentral:rRNA from 1 species
GACGAACGCUGGCGGCGUGCUUAACACAUGCAAGUCGAACGGAAAGGCCCUGCUUUUGUGGGGUGCUCGAGUGGCGAACGGGUGAGUAACACGUGAGUAACCUGCCCUUGACUUUGGGAUAACGUCAGGAAACUGGGGCUAAUACCGGAUAGGAGCUCCUGCUGCAUGGUGGGGGUUGGAAAGUUUCGGCGGUUGGGGAUGGACUCGCGGCUUAUCAGCUUGUUGGUGGGGUAGUGGCUUACCAAGGCUUUGACGGGUAGCCGGCCUGAGAGGGUGACCGGCCACAUUGGGACUGAGAUGCGGCCCAGACUCCUACGGGACGCAGCAGUGGGGAAGAUUGCACAAGGGGCGGAAGCCUGAUGCAGCAACGCCGCGUGCGGGAUGACGGCCUUCGGGUUGGAACCCGCUUUCGCCUGUGACGAAGCGUGAGUGACGGUAAUGGGUAAAGAAGCACCGGCUAACUACGUG